rnacentral:rRNA from 2 species
GCUGGCGGCGUGCCUAAUACAUGCAAGUCGAACGAACUCUGGUAUUGAUUGGUGCUUGCAUCAUGAUUUACAUUUGAGUGAGUGGCGAACUGGUGAGUAACACGUGGGAAACCUGCCCAGAAGCGGGGGAUAACACCUGGAAACAGAUGCUAAUACCGCAUAACAACUUGGACCGCAUGGUCCGAGUUUGAAAGAUGGCUUCGGCUAUCACUUUUGGAUGGUCCCGCGGCGUAUUAGCUAGAUGGUGGGGUAACGGCUCACCAUGGCAAUGAUACGUAGCCGACCUGAGAGGGUAAUCGGCCACAUUGGGACUGAGACACGGCCCAAACUCCUACGGGAGGCAGCAGUAGGGAAUCUUCCACAAUGGACGAAAGUCUGAUGGAGCAACGCCGCGUGAGUGAAGAAGGGUUUCGGCUCGUAAAACUCUGUUGUUAAAGAAGAACAUAUCUGAGAGUAACUGUUCAGGUAUUGACGGUAUUUAACCAGAAAGCCACGGCUAACUACGUGCCAGCAGCCGCGGUAAUACGUAGGUGGCAAGCGUUGUCCGGAUUUAUUGGGCGUAAAGCGAGCGCAGGCGGUUUUUUAAGUCUGAUGUGAAAGCCUUCGGCUCAACCGAAGAAGUGCAUCGGAAACUGGGAAACUUGAGUGCAGAAGAGGACAGUGGAACUCCAUGUGUAGCGGUGAAAUGCGUAGAUAUAUGGAAGAACACCAGUGGCGAAGGCGGCUGUCUGGUCUGUAACUGACGCUGAGGCUCGAAAGUAUGGGUAGCAAACAGGAUUAGAUACCCUGGUAGUCCAUACCGUAAACGAUGAAUGCUAAGUGUUGGAGGGUUUCCGCCCUUCAGUGCUGCAGCUAACGCAUUAAGCAUUCCGCCUGGGGAGUACGGCCGCAAGGCUGAAACUCAAAGGAAUUGACGGGGGCCCGCACAAGCGGUGGAGCAUGUGGUUUAAUUCGAAGCUACGCGAAGAACCUUACCAGGUCUUGACAUACUAUGCAAAUCUAAGAGAUUAGACGUUCCCUUCGGGGACAUGGAUACAGGUGGUGCAUGGUUGUCGUCAGCUCGUGUCGUGAGAUGUUGGGUUAAGUCCCGCAACGAGCGCAACCCUUAUUAUCAGUUGCCAGCAUUAAGUUGGGCACUCUGGUGAGACUGCCGGUGACAAACCGGAGGAAGGUGGGGAUGACGUCAAAUCAUCAUGCCCCUUAUGACCUGGGCUACACACGUGCUACAAUGGAUGGUACAACGAGUUGCGAACUCGCGAGAGUAAGCUAAUCUCUUAAAGCCAUUCUCAGUUCGGAUUGUAGGCUGCAACUCGCCUACAUGAAGUCGGAAUCGCUAGUAAUCGCGGAUCAGCAUGCCGCGGUGAAUACGUUCCCGGGCCUUGUACACACCGCCCGUCACACCAUGAGAGUUUGUAACACCCAAAGUCGGUGGGGUAACCUUUUAGGAACCAGCCGCCUAAGGUGG